GAUCCUGGCUCAGGAUGAACGCUAGCGGCAGGCUUAACACAUGCAAGUCGAGGGGUAUAGUUCUUCGGAAUUAGAGACCGGCGCACGGGUGCGUAACGCGUAUGCAAUCUACCUUUCACAAAGGGAUAGCCCAGAGAAAUUUGGAUUAAUACCUUAUAGUAAUACGACUUGGCAUCAAGAUGUAUUUAAAGAUUUAUCGGUGAAAGAUGAGCAUGCGUCCCAUUAGCUUGUUGGUAAGGUAACGGCUUACCAAGGCAACGAUGGGUAGGGGUCCUGAGAGGGAGAUCCCCCACACUGGUACUGAGACACGGACCAGACUCCUACGGGAGGCAGCAGUGAGGAAUAUUGGACAAUGGGCGCAAGCCUGAUCCAGCCAUGCCGCGUGCAGGAUGACGGUCCUAUGGAUUGUAAACUGCUUUUGUACAGGAAGAAACCCUUUCACGUGUGGAAGAUUGACGGUACUGUAAGAAUAAGGAUCGGCUAACUCCGUG
rnacentral:rRNA from 1 species